rnacentral:lncRNA from 1 species
AUGGUUACAAAUUCUGUUAAAAUUUUCCUAGAUGUUCUUUUAUACAUAGGCUCAGCUACAAAUUUUUGUAUUUCUAAAGCAAACAAAGAUUUCUCUUUAGAUCAAAGUCAUUUCUUUUCUUUUUUCCUCUUUUUCUCCUACAGUGCACAUACGCAUAUAUCGGUAAUUUGUAUCAUACAAGAGCAUGAAUUGAGAAUGUCUAAAAGUGUAUAAAAGUUACAUUCAAGAGAGUAUCAGCGGUUUGAAAACUGCUUGGAUUAGCUGAAAUCUCCAAAAGACAAAGGAAUACCCACAAGUCAACUGAAGUAUUGGCCCUAAAUGAUCCCACUAUUCCUGAUUCUUUUGAUCAAAAAGCA